AUUGACAGUGUUAGUCACACACAGUCAGAGAGCCACAAAAACAAAAUUGAAUUGAACUUUUGUUGAAAGUCGACUGAAAUAAUUUAAACUAUUUAAUAAUAAAUAAAUUUAACAAUGUUUUCAUUAAGUCGGCUUUUAUUAAGAAGAACAUAUUCACACUCCUCAGUAGCUUAUGGCUAUGCAAAAAGACUUCCUGAACAUAAAGAGAAGAUACCUAUUACUGAGCAAAAGGAUUUUGUGUUGUCAUCGCUGAAAGAUCCAAUUACGAGCUGGCCAGAUUUUAAAACUAGUGUUCUCAGCAAACAAGGCAUUAUGACAGAGAAAAACUUUGAUGGAGUUAUUCUUAAAUUAAUGAUUACUUCAAGAAAUUAUAGAGCCGCAUUAUCAUUUGUUGAAUUCAUAAAAAAAACGAAUGUUGAACUAUCAUUGGGUUCAAUAAAUGGCAUUCUUCGAUUGUAUGCAACAGUUAGCCUAGAACAUAAGCUUACAGAUGACCAGAAAAAAUUUAUACUAGAUAUGUAUGACUAUUUGUAUAAAAAGUAUCAAGUUCUGGAUUUUACCACUAGCGAGGAGCUGCUUCAUGCACUCUGUGCCAUCAAUGAAUAUAAAAAAUCAUUUAAAGUUUUAGAGGACAUUUAUUUAUCAAGCACUCCCAGUACUUCUACUUUCAGUACACUUAUAGCCACUUUAUGGAAUGUUGACAAGAAAACAGAGGCUUUGCAACUAAUGCAAAGAAGUUUAGAAGAGAAGAGACCACUUCAGGACAAAGUAUACCAUGCAUGGAUUGAACACAUAAACAGAAAGUAUAAACACAAAAAAACUAGAGUGAGACAUAUGGAAGAAAUCUGCUCUUUCAUUGUUAAGAAUUUUAUUACAUUAACUGAAGCUUCUGCUGCAAAAUUAAGAGAUAAUUUUGUAUUGUAUGGGUGGAAAGCACAAAAUGCAUCAAUAAGAAAACAUAAUGGCCAGUGUGUUUCAUGCACAGAGUUUCUUGAUGACCUAAAACUAACAGAGGCAGAGUUUGGUUUAUUGCAGAAUAAUGUGAAAGACAAGCUAAUAGUUGGUUCAGACUUAUUCCUAAAAUCAAGCCCGGAUGAGUUGAAAAGAUUCUUGCAUUUCCUAGAUAAGAAUGGACCAUUUGAUACAGUACUGGAUGCACUAAAUAUAGCUUUAGCAGUCGGGAAGGGAAAUAAUGCUGAUAAAGCAAACUUCUUAGCAAAGGUUGUUAAUUACUUUACAGAGAACAAUACCAAUAUUUUACUAUUAGGCAGAAAACACAUGCUGAACUGGCCACGGAAGCCUAUGGAAUAUAUUGCAUCUCAGGCCCCAUGCUUUUAUACAGAUGAUUUGUCCCAAGAUGACCCAUACUUCAUAACUGCAGCGAUAAUGAGUGGGCCUAAAACGGAUAUAGUGUCCAAGGACUUGCUCCGAAGUCAUCAUUUCCUCAUGAAGGAUGACCGCUUACGUCUACUGUUCCGAAGGUGGCAGUGGCAACAUCAGUGGAUGGUCUUCAUGGGCAAAAAGAAAAUGCCACAUAUUCAGCCACCACUCAAGUUCACGCCAUGCGCCCAGCAUAACAACGGCAUAUGGCAUCUGCCGUUUCAGAAGGAAGACCUGGAUACCUUCGGCAGGGUGAACGAUGGCUACCCGGCCUGGUCCACGUGGCUGUGCCUGCGACCGGAUAACCCCAGUUGACCUGACAAUAAAUGAGUUUUAUAUCUCCGUGGACAGAGAACGAAGACGUAUUUUCACGUUAUAAAAAAGUAUCGGCGGGCGGCUGUGAGGCGAUCUUAGACAAUACACCAUGUUGUCAAUAUCUAAUGCGAUCAUUUUAAUAUGUGCCGUAGUUGCUGAUUCUUUCAUUUUCAUACCAAAACAGGCAAAAAUUACAUAUGUUAACCAUAAGUUUUUGACCUGGGCCAAUGCAUCGGUCACGAGGUACGGCCGCAAGAGUCCCUACUACCUGAAUAUGGAAGGUGAAAAUAAAGUGCCAAUCGACGGUACGUUCAUACUAAACAUGGUUGUGUACCAAUUUGUAAGUAACGAAUAUCGUCGUAGCUUCGUUGAAUUCCAUUUGCCAUUUUGUGAGUUUGUAAAAGAUCCUUACUUUGGUGGAAUAUUUGGGAAGUUCGGAUACAAUUUGAAAUGCCCUAUAACUCCGGGUACGUACCAUUUUGUGAACAUGACAUUUCCUACCGAAAAUUUCCCUUAUGUGUGGCCUUUUGAGAAGUGCUUAUUUAAUAUUUCCUUGGACAUUAACAAUGUCCCUGGGGUCUCCGGUUUCAUCUUGAGUAAUAUUAUAUCAAAUCCUAGAAAGAAGACGUGAAAACAUUGUGACUACACUGUGCAUCUAUUGCACUGUGUAAUACUUACCUAAUAAUUAUCAAUACCUUUAUUAAUUAAAUAAAUAUGUGGAGAAUAAAUUAUUAUU